UUGCUUCAGGGCUGAAUAUGUCCCUAAAAUCAAUCCAUCUGAUUCACUUUGUCGGCAGUCUCUGUUACUGGUUUCUUGCUGAUCAUUAGUUGGUGGGAUAUGU